rnacentral:sRNA from 1 species
GGUUAGGGUUAGGUUAGGGUUAGGGUUAGGUUAGGUAGGGUUAGGGUUAGGCCAACCCUAACCCUAACCCUAACCCUUAACCCUAACCCUAACCCUAACCC